UUUUUGAGAUGGCAGCAACGGAAACCAUAACGAGCAUCAUCUUGAUUAAGCUCAUUAGGGUUAGCCUCGGUACGGUCAGGCAUCCACGGCGCUUUAAAAUAGUUGUUAUAGAUAUUCAAAUAACCCUGAAACAAAUGCUUAGGGAUUUUAUUGGUAUCAGGGUUAAUCGUGCCAAGAAAAGCGGCAUGGUCAAUAUAACCAGUAGUGUUAACAGUCGGGAGAGGAGUGGCAUUAACACCAUCCUUCAUGAACUUAAUCCACUGUUCACCAUAAACGUGACGAUGAGGGACAUAAAAAGUAAAAAUGUCUACAGUAGAGUCAAUAGCAAGGCCACGACGCAAUGGAGAAAGACGGAGAGCGCCAACGGCG
rnacentral:rRNA from 1 species